UACGUAGGGUGCAAGCGUUGUCCGGAAUUAUUGGGCGUAAAGAGCUCGUAGGCGGUUUGUCGCGUCUGCUGUGAAAACGCGAGGCUCAACCUCGCGCCUGCAGUGGGUACGGGCAAACUAGAGUGCGGUAGGGGAGAUUGGAAUUCCUGGUGGUAGCGGUGGAAUGCGCAGAUAUCAGGAGGAACACCGAUGGCGAAGGCAGAUCUC
rnacentral:rRNA from 1 species